GUCUUCGGCCAUGCCACCCUGAACAAGCCUGAUGUCUGAUCUUGGAAGCUAAGCAGGGUCAGGCCUGGUUAGUACUUGGAUGAGAGACCACCUAGGAAGACCAGAUGCUAUAGGCA
rnacentral:rRNA from 1 species